UACGUAGGGACCAAGCGUUGUUCGGAUUUACUGGGCGUAAAGCGUGCGCAGGCGGUUCGUUGUGUCGGCGGUGAAAGCCCCGGGCUUAACCUGGGAAUGGCCGUCGAAACUGGCGAACUGGAGUGUGGCAGAGGGGGGUGGAAUUCCGCGUGUAGCAGUGAAAUGCGUAGAGAUGCGGAGGAACACCGAUGGCGAAGGCAGCCCCCUGGGCUGACACUGACGCUCAGGCACGAAAGCGUGGGGAGCAAACAGG
rnacentral:rRNA from 1 species